GGGGAUGCAAUGGUUUCGACGGGAUGUCGGGGUCAUGCAAACGCGUUCCGUGCCUGACAUAAGCACGUUAAUCCUGUGUCAACUGGUAUAAUUGCCAACUACGAUUACGCACUGGCGGCUUAAUUGACCGCCACGUCCUCCGGAGGCGCGCCCGUCGGCUAAAGGAAGUGACGUCGCAAAAGACGGACUAGGCACCCCAAGCGCCAGGGGAGGGGGCCAAAACACAUCUCCUGACUAGUUCGCGCACACGUCCUGUCUGUCGGGCAGUACGCGGGCGAAACCUAAAAGACUGACUACGAGCGUAGCAAGUUGCAGGUUCUGCAUUUCGGACGGGGGUUCGAUUCCCCCCAUCUCCACAG
rnacentral:tmRNA from 1 species